GUACUUGGUUCUGCAGUACUUAUACUAAGGUUGAAAUGAUACAGAGAUUAGCAUGGCCCCUGCACAAGGAUGACAGGCAGAUUAAUGAAGCAUUCCAUGUAAAA
ensembl:snRNA U6 U6 spliceosomal RNA